UCAUAUACCGACCAUUUGUCAUCACCCCUCUGCGACUCAUACAGACGGUAAACAUUCACGUCUGAUAGUGACGCACCGGGCUUUAGAAGUGACUUUAAUGAAACACCAUUGUGAAUGGGUGACUUUCACCCAGGAGACUGAAGUUCAUGUCCCAUGAAACCAGAUAUUAUUAAAGGAAGAAUGUGUAACAUUUUACACAGUAUAGCGGAAAUCAAGUAUAUCCUCUGUAAAUGUCAUGACCGUCCACAAUGAGUGAGAAGUGGAGAAGAGUCCUGCUGGCUGUGUUGUUACACAUACAGUAUAUGGAAAAUCCUGUGACUACAAAAAAGAAGAACGUAUACUCACUGAUUAUUUGGAUGUCACAUUAGCAUUUUUUUCAUCACGGCCAUUCUGUGUCAAUUUAUGUCCAAUAAGCUACGCGCUAACUAAAGUGUGCUAACAUUAGCCUGCUAACACAACAAGUGUAAGUGGCAAUUGCAGCUUGAACCAAAGACAAUUUUGUCCGCCACUUGCGCUAAACUCCUUUGUGCAAACUCAAGUGGAGGGGGGUUGGAGGUGUGGGGCUGGAGAGGCUUUUAGUUUGGUGGAGCCAACCGCAGUUUGUUUUGAUUUCAAGUUGAAAGGCACAUAAGGUUAUUUGCGUCACACAGUCUUAUCCUAAACCAAACCAAGUAGUAUUUGUAUCUAAAU